CGGUGAGCAAUCUGCCUUUGGAUGGGGGAUAACAGCCGGAAACGACUGCUAAUACCGCAUGAUGCAGCGGGGUCGCAUGAUUUUGCUGCCAAAGAUUUAUCGUCCAAAGAUGAGCUCGCGUCUGAUUAGCCAGUUGGCGGGGUAACGGCCCACCAAAGCGACGAUCAGUAGCCGGACUGAGAGGUUGAACGGCCACAUUGGGACUGAGACACGGCCCAGACUCCUACGGGAGGCAGCAG
rnacentral:rRNA from 1 species